rnacentral:lncRNA from 1 species
ACUAAGCCAAAGUAAUUACUCGAAAGAGGCUCGACAAGACAAAGCCGGAUGCAGAGGUCCUUCAUGGCCGUCUCUGCCAUCCUGGACAACUCCAUGAGUGGCUUAAUCUGCUAGACGAGAAGUGGGUUGGGCUUGGGAGUCUGAAACAAUGCCAAGAAAAGCCUCUUCUCGGCGUCCCCGUCUUGGGUCGUGUAGUGCUUGGUCGCGUGUGCUACACUCUGUAGGAGGUCCGUAAACGAGCCCGGGAAAUGCCAUAGCCGUGUAAGAAACGGAAACCUGUUUCUACCAAAGGCACAUUGCAGAAAUUAUGGCUUACCAUCCGUAAUCUUCUUGGCUUGGCGUACUUCUUCUUCAAAAAAUCGCCUCUCUACCCGCUCUAAUUUGAGCUCGGAGGACAACUUGGAAAGCUCAGCUGCUUGUUCUUUGGAAUUUUUUCCAAGGCCUCGCUCUUAGCGCUUGCAUCUUGAAGGACCUAAUGGACCUCAGCCACUCUAUCCUUGUGCCCACCUCUCUCAACCUUCAAUGAGCAUAGCAUGGUGUUUGUCUGCUCGGCCACCAUCUUAUGAGCAGCGGCCUCCUGCUUGGCCUUAUCCAGUUCGGCCUUGAGUUUCUCAAACUCCACGUCCAUAGUUGCUGACAUAAUCGAAAUCAAGAUGUCAUAUACCAAAGCCAGACAAUACGAAACUAUUAAGUACAACCAGAU